UGGGGAAUUGUUCGCAAUGGGCGCAAGCCUGACGACGCAACGCCGCGUGAGUGAUGAAGGCCUUCGGGUCGUAAACUCCUGUCGACCGGGACGAACGCUAUUGGGCCCAAUACGCCCGAUAGUCGACUGUACCGGUGGAGGAAGCCACGGCUAACUCUGUGCCAGCAGCCGCGGUAAUACAGAGGUGGCAAGCGUUGUUCGGAAUUACUGGGCGUAAAGGGCGCGUAGGCAGUCCUGUCAGUCCCUUGUGAAAUCCCCCGGCUCAACUGGGGAACUGCAAGGGAUACAGCAGGGCUUGAGUUCGGGAGAGGGAAGCGGAAUUCCGGGUGUAGCGGUGAAAUGCGUAGAUAUCCGGAGGAACACCGGUGGCGAAGGCGGCUUCCUGGACCGAUACUGACGCUGAGGCGCGAAAGCUAGGGGAGCAAACGGGAUUAGAUACCCUAGUAGUCCCUGAGCGGGCUGGCAAGGCGCAU
rnacentral:rRNA from 1 species